GUGAACCUGCGGAAGGWUCAUUA
rnacentral:rRNA from 1 species